UGCCGUGUAACUCAUAAUGCACAUCGGUAGGGUUUGGCUGCAUGCCAGAUGAGCCGCUGUCUCCCUUUGCAGGCUAUCUCAGUUCUGCUGCUGCUCGCUCGCUUACAAUCAGUUUAAGGAAGGGAGACGACAGAGAAGUCUUAGAAAAGAAUUGUGCCUGGACUUGUCUGGACUUGUUCAGUCCCCGUACUUCAGAGAGCCAGGAAAGACUGAGGCUGCCUGGGAUCACAUCUUCACCGGCACUGUCUUGGGGGACCAAUAUUUUGGAACUCCCAUCAUCCAAGCCUCACUAUUCCUUUUUCUAGAAGACCAGACUGUGUGUCAGACCCAAGUGGGACAAAGUGGACUUUUCCUCUGCCAUCAUCCCCGCAGUGACCCAGUGAGUGAACAGGAUCCAUUCAGGUGUGGCAAGGUGAGGGCGAUCUGUGGGAUGCCUUAGUGCAGAAGGGCAAGGUCAGCCUUUGGCAGGAGGUGUGUGUCUGUCAACACCAGGUUAAAGUGCUGACUGUGGAGCCCCACCCAGAAGGAGCAGCCGGCUGCCAGAGAGUUUCUUUUGAAGGCUGGGAAAUUGCCCUGCUGUCUGCCUUGGAGAGAAGAUGCUUGUUUGGAGAGAUUUAUGGAGCAGGUACGAAGAAGGUCAAAGAGUUAUAAAGGGCACUGUGGUCUCUGAAAUUCCUUCUGGCUUCAGACUGGUCGCUGAAAUGUGAACAGGUGUUCCCUUGCACAAUUUUCUAGCCAGUUUUUGACACCUUGAGAACCAGAAAUUGGAAGGACUCUCGCAUCCAUUAAUUGGCAAGAGAGGAAGUGUGAUGGGGGCCAGAUCGUCUCCCCUUGGCCGGCAUUGCAUAUGCCGUUUCUGUGAGUGUUUCUCUGGCAGUGUCUUAGCUGGUUGUUGUGCCGAGCGAUCGAGGAAGCAAUCAGCAAGAAUACUGCCCCAGAAGUGCUGCACGUUAUCGGGCCCAUUGGGAUUCUCAUCUCUGGAUCAGGCACAAAAGAGAACCGGCGAUUUCUGGACUUGGCUCAGUUCAUCCUACACCAAAACCGUCAAGGAAUUGGAAGGACUGGAGCACCAGGCUACAGAAAAAGACCCAAGUCUGAAGUGAGUAAGGGUGUGCCGAGGCUGGAUGUUUUUGUCACCAUAUUCUGUACUGGGGAAAACUGCUGUCACUAAGUUCUGGCCUCUUGGGAAGCUGUCCAAAGUAGGAAUGGAAAGGAUUUUGGGGAAUGGCCAACUUUGGCCAUUCCGAGGCAAGCCCAGCUCCUCUGCCUGAUUUUGCCUUGGCUCAGAAAAAGCACACACAAGACACCUUUCUCAGCUGCUUUCGUUUCCCUUUCCAUAUUUACACAUUGCAAAGGGGCUAAGCAGGGAAAAAAGGCAAUCAGCCAGAUGUCUGGGUAAAGCCAAGAACUCUUCCUGAAUGUCUCUACUCUCUGCAGUGAAGAUGUCUGGGCAUAUUCAGAGCCAGCAUCUGCUGCAUGAACUCUGAGAAGAGAUCCCCCCCCCUUCCCCUUUAAUUCCUACUGACUUUAUGACCACAGUUCCCAGCAUUAGCUUUGUAGGGACUAUACCUCCAAUAAGGUUCACUACUUGGGUUCUAGAGUAUUCCUGAGCAUGUGCACAGCAUUUUGUCCACAAAUAAACAUUAGAAGCAAAAGAAUGUAAAGCUAUCUGGACUUCUGUUAGAGAAAUUUACACUUGAGCCUUCCUAGAGAGGGCCACAUUGGACUCAUAAACUUACACUCACACCCCUAUGUACCUCGGGCUGUACAUGUAAAAUGGCUUUAACAACUAUCAAUAGUUGCCCUGCAACGUUUAGUGGAAAGACUCACUUAUCUUCCUUAAAUAUGUUCAAGAUAUUGCUUCUAUUGACAUACUGCGACUAUGCCUUUUAAUUAGUUUAGUAAUUAAGUCGGGUAAGUAGCUUAAUAGGCUGCAAACCCUUUACCUAGUUAAUACUAGGGAGCAGCAGUGGCGUAGUGGCUAAGAGCAGGUGCACUCUGAUCUGGAGGAACUGGGUUUGAUUCCCAGCUCUGCCGCUUGAGUUGU